GCGCGGUUGGUAUAGCGGUCAGUACUCUCGUUUCCCAAGAACUGAAGUGGAAGUUAUCCAUGGGCAAAGAAUAAUGAGUGACCCGGGUUCGACUCCCGGAUUGCGCA